rnacentral:rRNA from 1 species
AUUGAACGCUGGCGGUAUGCUUAACACAUGCAAGUCGAACGGCAGCAUUUUCUAGCUUGCUAGAAAGAUGGCGAGUGGCGAACGGGUGAGUAACGCGUAGGAAUAUACCUUAAAGAGGGGGACAACUUGGGGAAACUCAAGCUAAUACCGCAUAAUUUCCUUGGAAAAAAGCUGGGGACCUUCGGGCCUGGCGCUUUAAGAUUAGCCUGCGUACGAUUAGCUAGUUGGUAGGGUAAAGGCCUACCAAGGCGACGAUCGUUAGCUGGUCUGAGAGGAUGACCAGCCACACUGGAACUGAGACACGGUCCAGACUCCUACGGGAGGCAGCAGUGGGGAAUAUUGGACAAUGGGGGCAACCCUGAUCCAGCAAUACCACGUGUGUGAAGAAGGCCUGAGGGUUGUAAAGCACUUUCAGUGGGGAGGAGGGUACUUAGGUUAAGAGCUAGAGUACUGGACGUUACCCACAGAAGAAGCACCGGCUAACUCCGUGCCAGCCGCCGCGGUAA